rnacentral:rRNA from 1 species
GGCUUGAGUCUUGUAGAGGGGGGUAGAANUUCCAGGUGUAGCGGUGAAAUGCGUAGAGAUCUGGAGGAAUACCGGUGGCGAAGGCGGCCCCCUGGACAAAGACUGACGNUCAGGUGCGAAAGCGUGGGGAGCAAACAGGAUUAGAUACCNUGGUAGUNCACGCCGUAAACGAUGUCGACUUGGAGGUUGUUCCCUUGAGGAGUGGCUUCCGGAGCUAACGCGUUAAGUCGACCGCCUGGGGAGUACGGCCGCAAGGUUAAAACUCAAAUGAAUUGACGGGGGCCCGCACAAGCGGUGGAGCAUGUGGUUUAAUUCGAUGCAACGCGAAGAACCUUACCUACUCUUGACAUCCAGAGAACUUAGCAGAGAUGCUUUGGUGCCUUCGGGAACUCUGAGACAGGUGCUGCAUGGCUGUCGUCAGCUCGUGUUGUGAAAUGUUGGGUUAAGUCCCGCAACGAGCGCAACCCUUAUCCUUUGUUGCCAGCGCGUGAUGGCGGGAACUCAAAGGAGACUGCCGGUGAUAAACCGGAGGAAGGUGGGGAUGACGUCAAGUCAUCAUGGCCCUUACGAGUAGGGCUACACACGUGCUACAAUGGCGCAUACAAAGAGAAGCGACCUCGCGAGAGCAAGCGGACCUCACAAAGUGCGUCGUAGUCCGGAUCGGAGUCUGCAACUCGACUCCGUGAAGUCGGAAUCGCUAGUAAUCGUGGAUCAGAAUGCCACGGUGAAUACGUUCCCGGGCCUUGUACACACCGCCCGUCACACCAUGGGAGUGGGUUGCAAAAGAAGUAGGUAGCUUA